rnacentral:rRNA from 1 species
GAAUGCUGACAUAAGUAACGAUAAAGCGGGUGAAAAGCCCGCUCGCCGGAAGACCAAGGGUUCCUGUCCAACGUUAAUCGGGGCAGGGUGAGUCGACCCCUAAGGCGAGGCCGAAAGGCGUAGUCGAUGGGAAACAGGUUAAUAUUCCUGUACUUGGUGUUACUGCGAAGGGGGGACGGAGAAGGCUAUGUUAGCCGGGCGACGGUUGUCCCGGUUUAAGCAUGUAGGCUGGUUAUCCAGGCAAAUCCGGAUAAUCAAGGCUGAGGUGUGAUGACGAGGCACUACGGUGCUGAAGUAACAAAUGCCCUGCUUCCAGGAAAAGCCUCUAAGCAUCAGGUAACAUCAAAUCGUACCCCAAACCGACACAGGUGGUCAGGUAGAGAAUACCAAGGCGCUUGAGAGAACUCGGGUGAAGGAACUAGGCAAAAUGGUGCCGUAACUUCGGGAGAAGGCACGCUGGUGUGUAGGUGAAGUCCCUGCGGAUGGAGCUGAGACCAGUCGAAGAUACCAGCUGGCUGCAACUGUUUAUUAAAAACACAGCACUGUGCAAACACGAAAGUGGACGUAUACGGUGUGACGCCUGCCCGGUGCCGGAAGGUUAAUUGAUGGGGUUAUCCGUAAGGAGAAGCUCUUGAUCGAAGCCCCGGUAAACGGCGGCCGUAACUAUAACGGUCCUAAGGUAGCGAAAUUCCUUGUCGGGUAAGUUCCGACCUGCACGAAUGGCGUAAUGAUGGCCAGGCUGUCUCCACCCGAGACUCAGUGAAAUUGAACUCGCUGUGAAGAUGCAGUGUACCCGCGGCAAGACGGAAAGACCCCGUGAACCUUUACUAUAGCUUGACACUGAACAUUGAGCCUUGAUGUGUAGGAUAGGUGGGAGGCUUUGAAGCGUGGACGCCAGUCUGCGUGGAGCCGACCUUGAAAUACCACCCUUUAAUGUUUGAUGUUCUAACGUUGGCCCCUUACCGGGGUUGCGGACAGUGUCUGGUGGGUAGUUUGACUGGGGCGGUCUCCUCCCAAAGCGUAACGGAGGAGCACGAAGGUUAGCUAAUCCUGGUCGGACAUCAGGAGGUUAGUGCAAUGGCAUAAGCUAGCUUGACUGCGAGCGUGACGGCGCGAGCAGGUGCGAAAGCAGGUCAUAGUGAUCCGGUGGUUCUGAAUGGAAGGGCCAUCGCUCAACGGAUAAAAGGUACUCCGGGGAUAACAGGCUGAUACCGCCCAAGAGUUCAUAUCGACGGCGGUGUUUGGCACCUCGAUGUCGGCUCAUCACAUCCUGGGGCUGAAGUAGGUCCCAAGGGUAUGGCUGUUCGCCAUUUAAAGUGGUACGCGAGCUGGGUUUAGAACGUCGUGAGACAGUUCGGUCCCUAUCUGCCGUGGGCGCUGGAGAAUUGAGGGGGGCUGCUCCUAGUACGAGAGGACCGGAGUGGACGCAUCACUGGUGUUCGGGUUGUCAUGCCAAUGGCACUGCCCGGUAGCUAAAUGCGGAAGAGAUAAGUGCUGAAAGCAUCUAAGCACGAAACUUGCCCCGAGAUGAGUUCUCCCUGAGACUUUAAGUCUCCUGAAGGAACGUUAAAGACGAUGACGUUGAUAGGCCGGGUGUGUAAGCGCAGCGAUGCGUUGAGCUAACCGGUACUAAUGAACCGUGAGGCUUAACCUU